UACGUAGGGUGCGAGCGUUAAUCGGAAUUACUGGGCGUAAAGCGUGCGCAGGCGGCUAUUUAAGCUUGCUGUGAAAGCCCCGGGCUUAACCUGGGAAUGGCAGUGAGGACUGGAUGGCUGGAGUGUGGCAGAGGGGGGUGGAAUUCCACGUGUAGCAGUGAAAUGCGUAGAGAUGUGGAGGAACACCGAUGGCGAAGGCAGCCCCUGGGCUAACACUGACGCUCAGGCACGAAAGCGUGGGGAGCAAACAGG
rnacentral:rRNA from 1 species